AACGGUCUAUACCUGCGGUACCUGCGGAGGGAUCAUUACUGAAUUGAUUUUGGGGAUGUUGCUGGUCUCUUGAGGCAAUGGUGCACUCCCUCAAACAUUUCACAAUUUCCAUCUUACCCAUGUGCACAUCCUGUAGGUGGUCUCCCAACCCACCCUCCAAGGAAAGGGGGGAGUGUGUGGGUCUGGUCUCCUAUGUAUUUCCUUGCCAACAUCACACGUUUUGACUGAAUGAAUCCUGUG
rnacentral:misc_RNA from 1 species